GGAUUAGAUACCCUGGUAGUCCACGCCCUAAACGAUGAGUGCUAAGUAUUAGGCCUUAUGGCUUAGUGCUACACAGCUAACGCGUUAAGCACUCCGCCUGGGAAGUACGGUCGCAAGACUAAAACUCAAAGGAAUUGACGGGGACCUGCACAAGCGGUGGAACAUGUGGUUUAAUUCGAUGCUACGCGAAAAACCUUACCAGGUCUUGACAUGCUAGUCGUACGGCUAUGAAAGUAGCCGGUCAGUUUGGCUGGACUAGCACAGGUGUUGCAUGGCUGUCGUCAGCUCGUGUUG
rnacentral:rRNA from 1 species